AGUCCUGUAGCUCAGUGGUUCGAGCGAUUGCCUCGUAAGCAAGAGGACCUGGGUUUGAUUCCCGGCCAGGGCGA